UCCUGUGGUCCUACUUGAAAAUGAGGAGAGGGACUUGUCUCAUACCUCAGAGCUGUGGAGCCUCCACCCAGCAAUCAGGCCUCUAUCAGAGUUACCUGCUGUGUGGACAGCGUCACUGCUGGAGGUUUCACACCCAAGAUGAGAUCACAGUGAGGGCUGGCAGUAGAAAAAUUGUUAAUCUGGCAGAGUUUGCUGGGUUUUUCUUUCCAGCUGACCCAAGUCCAUAGCUGUAAAGCUUGAGAAACUUCACCUGGGAGAGCCAGAUCUCCUCAGUAAGGAAGGCUCCUGUAUUAAGAGGCUCAUGAAGAAGGGUGGAGUCGGGGGUCUGGAAGUGUGGAUGGGCCUGGGGCAGCCAGAGGGGGAAGGCAAUGGUGGCUCAGCUAAGAUAGGCAUGGUGUCCUGAUGCUGGGCGGGAGGAAACCAGGGGCCCUGCCCCAGGGCUGGGUGUCUGCUAG
rnacentral:lncRNA from 1 species